rnacentral:rRNA from 1 species
AUGGGGCUCUGUUUCAGCAAGAAGCAGCAGGACAAGCCACCGCCGCCGCCGCCGCAGCCGAGCGCGGCUGCGGCCACCACCAAGCCCAAGAAGCCCGCCAAGGUCGCCGCCGCCGCAGUGGUCGCGGGCGACGAGAAGGCCAAGAAGGCGCCGCAGCCGAGGAGGGCGUCCAACGCGGACGAGUCCGCCGCGGACGGCAAGAAGGCGGCACCGAUCGUCGUCAAGGCUAACAAGGCGGCCGCGGGCGGGGAGGCGGAGGAGAAGAAGGAGGAGCAGGCGAGGCCGGUGGUGGUGGUGGCCAAGGGGCCGAUGCCGGUGCGCACGUCCAGCUGCACCAAGGAGGAGGUGGACGCCAUCCUCAUCCAGUGCGGCCGCCUCAGCCGGAGCUCGUCCGGGAGCGAGACGAGGGGCGGGCACCGCUCCAAGAGGAGCUCCGACUUUGAUCCGUCCGGGGCCGCUGGCGCGGACGAGGAGGGCGACUGGGAGAGGAACGGGGUCCCCGUGUCGAGGCCGUCGCCCCACCGGGGCUCGCCGCAGAGGAAGCGCUCGGGGAGCCGGGAGAGGACCGGCGGAGGGAGCCGCAGGUCGAGCCGAUCGCCCGGACGGCGUGGCGAGGGCGGCGCGCCCUCUGCUACCUCGGCGGGCUCCGGCGUCGCCAGACAGCAGCCCGGGAAGAUGGUCUCCGUUCCGGCGAGGGAGAAAGGGCGCGCACCGUCGCCCGCGGCCGCGUCCGGCAAGAGGUGCGCGUCUCCGCGAUCAAGCUCGCCUGCGAGGGUGACCGCUGCCAAUGAGAAUGCUGGAGGGGGACAGAAGACGGCGGGGCAAACGCCGGCGCUGAGCCGGAGCUCGUCCAGGAAGGCCGAGCAGUCGCCGCUCCGGCGCAGCCCCAUGGCCGAGAUCGACGAGAAUUCUCUCCGCAAUAACAACAGCAGCACCAACACCAAGCCCCAGAAGAAAUCGACGGAGAUUGCCGUCGCCACCCCGACCCGGAAGACCGCGGAGCGCGCAAAGGAGCAGAGUUCUCAGAAGGAGAAGGCGGAGGAGACCAUCGGUGCGGCGUCGGAGACGAGAGCACCGUCGUCCAAGACCACCGAGACGCGCACGGUGAGCAUCGUGGCCGAGACCCCAGGACGGAGGUCAGGCCGCCGUUCGCGCCGGGCGUCGCGCGACUUCGACCAGAACCCCGGCUUGUACGCCAGCCAUCUCCUCGAGGACAUCCAGAACUACCACACCUCCGCUACGGCCACCCCCGGAACGCCGCCAUCCUUCACGCUACCGGCCUGCGUCUCCAAGGCGCAGUCCAUCGUCGACGCCGUCGCCGACCUCAACUCCUCGUCGUCGGAGAGCCGCACCUGCGAGCCCGAUCGGAGCGUCGACGACAAGGCCUCCGUCAACGCGGCGGCCGGCGGGGACGACCUGGACGCGCCGAGCGUGCACAGGUACGUGUCGGUGCGCGACAUCCGUGGCCGCGGGGAGAUGGAGCUGCAGGAGUCCGCGGGGAGCAACAGCCUCUCCGGCAACCUGUGGACGCCGUCGUGCGAGUCCACGGACCGGACGUGGAGCGGCUCGCGGUCGUCGAACAACGGCGACGAGGUCGUCGAGCAGGUCCCUAGCCACCACGGUGGCGCGCGCAGCCCGGUGAACCGGCCCAGGCAGAGCAAGCAGAGGGCGGCGGCGCAGCUGGAGCCCAGCGGCCGGUCGCGCGCCGGCAGCUCCGGCGUCAAUGCUCACCGUGGACGCAGCGCUCACCGCGGCAGCGGCAGCGUGGUGAGCGGCCGAUCGGGCGUCCGUGGCGUCUCGGCGAGCUCGUAG